GACGAACGCUGGCGGCGUGCUUAAUACAUGCAAGUCGAGCGAGGCCCAUCCAGUGGCAACACUGGGGAAGGCCGAGCGGCGAACGGGUGAGUAACACGUGAGCAACCUGCCCCGAAGUCUGGAAUAACAUCGGGAAACCGGGUAGCUAAUACCGGAUUGCCCCACCCUGACCGCAUGAUCGGGUGAGGAAAGAUUUAUCGCUUCGGGAGGGGCUCGCGGCCUAUCAGCUUGUUGGGGGGGUGA
rnacentral:rRNA from 1 species